UUAGCAUUUGUUUUGGAGAAGGCCUGCUACAAGGAAUUCUUUUAGUUUUCUUCUUCAUUACUAAAAGACAUGUGUGCUGCAUAUAGAAUCCUGAGUGGAAGGGGCCCCUUUCUUCAAUCCUCUGGAUAGAAAUUUGCUAUUUCCCUAGAAGUUUCAGCCACAGAUCUUGACAAGUUGUACAACUGGGAUCACUCUCAAGGCAAAACAGUUUUAGGUAAUGCCAAUAUGACCAUCUCACUGCAGCUCCAGGACCAGAGCCACUCUUGGGGCGGGCAGAAGAAAAAAGGGAGAAAAAAGAAAAAAAGAAAUCUAGGUGAAUCCAUACUGAUACAAGUAAAUGAUUACAUAAAUAAAGAGAUGGAGAAGAGUCAUAUCCUCCUUAUAGCUGAAUUCCCAAGUUUUAGUUAUAAACACUGGCAAAGAAGUGUUCUCCUGUGUGACUCUUCAUUUUCCAGCAUUAGAAUUCAUUUUUCCUGAUCCUUCAGAUCUUAAAAAGGCUGCACCUAUAUGCUUGCUGAUGUUUGAAACUCAUGUGCUACCUGAGUUGGAAAUCAAGAUCAAAGCAAAGAUCUCUAGGAAAAAUUCUGCAACCAAACAGUGGCUGAUACAUACCUUCUAGAGGACAAGCCAGACACUAACCAGCCACCAAGGUGUGGCAACCAUGUAUCUCUCUAUCCUUGAAAACCAAAAAUGAAGAGUGUGUUGUAAAGCCAUUUGAAGUAAUGAAUGUUUCCAAGUGGAGCUUCAAGACUGCCAAUUAGUCCAGGAAGAUGACCUUAUCCCUACAAUCAAGAACAGCUCACAUUCCAGUGCUGCCUUCAGUCUGCUGGAGAGCCGAUCUUGGCAGCUCCUUGCAAGCUCACUGCCUUCUGCUGAUUGGAUGGGUUUGAAGAGGAAUUGCUGCUCCAGUUCAUGCAGGAUGACCAGAGACCUGGUGCUCCAUGAGCAUCAGUCUGUGGCCCUUCCCAGCUGUCUUGUUUCUUGCUCCCACCCAGGCACCUGCUUUUGUUCUCUGCUGAGUCUGAAGCCCAGUCCUGAAACCUAGAUGUAUUCUCACCUUCCAUCUCUCGAGGUCUGCCUCUGAUUCUGCUGAUCUAACCCCGAUGGAGUAUGAAGGUGAGAUGCUGACUGCAGGUGAUGAUGAACUUAGACACUGAGACACAACAUUUUGCCCUAUUUUCCCAGAUUCCUGCCCCUGGGACUGAUGCCAAUCCCUCCUGCACCAGCAUUAGCUCUGCUGCUUCGAUUUGUAUGCACAAAUGAAAGAUUUUUAUGACACCACCAUUGUUUGGAAAAGUUGUGUAAGUGAAUAUCCAGUUGCUCCAUCACCAUUUGUUGAAAAGACUAUCGUUUCUCUUUUGUAUUGUUUCUACUUCUUUGACAACGAUCAUAUACUUAUAGUGUGCAGGUGCAAGCAGGGGGAGAUGCAGAAGGAGAAGGAGAGAAAAUCCCAGGAAGAGUCCAUGCUGAGCAUAAAGCCCAAUGUGUCCUGAUUGAUACUCACUUGGGUGCUGUUGCUUUAAGAUGGCUUCAAGCCAGUCCACCGGGCCCUGCCCUUGGCGCUUCCUGCUACCUUACCUUCUACCCACUGCCAAUUCUAUCUGCCUCAUAACGCUCAAUAUCCAGCAGCACCCUGCCUGGCCCCAGCUGCCACAGGAUCUCCCCCGGACUCCUGCACCGGCCUCCAACUGCUCUUCUCCUUUCAAACCUACCCUUUCAGACCCUUACUUGGCACAGCAGUCCGGGGAAUUUUUCUACGUGAAAAUUUUUUUACUUAAAAGCCUUCUGGGGAUCCCUGGGUGGCGCAGCGGUUUGGCGCUGCCUUUGGCCCAGGGCGCGAUCCUGGAGACCCUGGAUCGAAUCCCACGUCGGGCU